rnacentral:rRNA from 1 species
GACGAACGCUGGCGGCGUGCUUAACACAUGCAAGUCGAACGGAAAGGCCCUGCUUUUGUUGGGUUCUCGAGUGGCGAACGGGUGAGUAACACGUGAGUAACCUGCCCUUGACUUUGGGAUAACUUCAGGAAACUGGGGCUAAUACCGGAUAGGAGCUCCUGCUGCAUGGUGUGGGUUGGUAAGUUUCGGCGGUUGGGGAUGGACUCGCGGCUUAUCAGCUUGUUGGUGGGGUAGUGGCUUACCAAGGCUUUGACGGGUAGCCGGCAUGAGAGGGUGAACGGCAACAUUGGGACUGAGAUACGGCCCAGACUCCUACGGGAGGCAGCAGUGGGGAAUAUUGCACAAUGGGAGGAAGCCUGAUGCAGCAACGCCGCGUGCGGGAUGACGGCCUUCGGGUUGUAAACCGCUUUCGACUGUGACGAAGCGUGAGUGACGGUAAUGGGUAAAGAAGCACCGGCUAACUACGUG